UUUAGAGAGCCGUGGAAAGUGGCCAAGAGGCGUGAGAGCGCCGCCGCCGCUGACUAAUGGGAAGAGCCGUUGGUGUGAGGUGGGAGCAAGAGAAACAGCGAUUGGUUGGAUGAGCCUAAGCGCCUGAGGUGGGGGCCAGCGGUGGGGGUCCGGUGGACUGAGGCGCAUCAAGAUGGCGGCCGAGACGGUGGAGCUCCACAAGCUGAAGCUUGCUGAACUAAAGCAAGAAUGUCUUGCUCGUGGUUUAGAGACCAAGGGAAUAAAACAAGAUCUUAUAAAUAGGCUGCAGGCCUAUCUUGAAGACCAUGAAGAAGAAGCAAAUGAAGAAGAUGUACUGGGAGAUGAAACUGAGGAAGAAGAACCAAAGCCCAUAGAACUGCCUGUUAAAGAGGAAGAACCUCCUGAAAAGGCUGUUGAUAUGGCAUCGGAAAAGAAGGUGGUAAAGAUUACAUCUGGGAUACCUCAGACUGAAAGAAUGCAGAAGAGGGCUGAACGAUUCAAUGUACCUGUAAGCCUGGAGAGUAAGAAGGCUGCCCGGGCGGCUAGGUUUGGAAUUUCUUCAGUUCCAACAAAAGGUUUAUCAUCUGACACCAAGCCUAUGGGUUUCUCUGUGUAGCCCUGGCUAUUCUGGAACUUGCUCUGUAGACCAGUCUUCCCUCCAACUCGAAGACCAUCCACCUGCCUCUCUGCCUUUCUGCCUCUGCCCCUGCCUCGAGUACUGGGACUAAAGGUGUGUCCCCACCACUGCCCAGCUUCUAAUUCUUAAUGACAACAGAGAAUCUGUAGAAGCAACUUAGUUAACCUGGAUAAACUAAAGGAAAGAGCACAGAGAUUUGGUUUGAAUGUCUCUUCCAUCUCUAGAAAGUCUGAGGAUGAUGAGAAGCUGAAGAAACGGAAGGAGAGAUUUGGGAUUGUGACAAGUUCAGCUGGAACUGGAACCACAGAGGAUACAGAGGCAAAGAAAAGAAAAAGAGCAGAGCGUUUUGGAAUUGCAUAAUGAAAAGUUCGUGCUUUCUGCACCAUAGUGUUUUCCAUUUCUCAAAUUUUUCUUGGUUUUAUAUAUACAUACACACCCCUACCUACCUACCUAUCUACAUACACAGUCAUGUGCCUCACAGUGAGGAAGCAUGUACGUUUGGUACAUCCUUGAAUUCAGUAGCAGUUUUAUUUAACUGCUCUUCUGCGUUUAAGAUUGUUGUGGUUUUUGUUUUUAAUUAUUUUUGCUUAUUAAUAAAAAAGGAAGAAAAGAAAAUGUGUUUUA